CUUCUUUGUCCUAAGUCAAACAUGUCUAACUUUGACCAAGUUUAUAGAAAAAUAUAUUGAUUUCAACAAUACCAAAUAAAUACACUAUCAAUACAUAUUUCAUGGUGGAUUUAAUAAAACUAAUUCGAUGUUGUAGAUGUUGGUACUUUUUUCUAUAAACUUGGUCAAGGUUAGACAAGUUUGACUUAGGGCAAAGCUAG
rnacentral:pre_miRNA from 1 species